rnacentral:rRNA from 1 species
UACGAAGGGGGCUAGCGUUGCUCGGAAUUACUGGGCGUAAAGGGCGCGUAGGCGGCCGCUCAAGUUAGGCGUGAAAGCCCCGGGCUCAACCUGGGAAUUGCGCUUGAUACUGUGUGGCUUGAGUUCGGGAGAGGAGAGUGGAAUUCCCAGUGUAGAGGUGAAAUUCGUAGAUAUUGGGAAGAACACCGGUGGCGAAGGCGGCUCUCUGGACCGAUACUGACGCUGAGGCGCGAAAGCGUGGGGAGCAAACAGG